rnacentral:lncRNA from 1 species
UGCCCAAGCUUCCCUUCAUAUCAGAUCAGCCACUGAUGACUCUCCGGUGAAUUUUCUCUUCUCAGAUUCCUCAAUUUCAAUAUAAAGUUUUCAUUUUUUUUUCUCUUGUCUUUAUUUUUCUUCCCAAUGUCUUUUUUACUUGUUUUUUAGUGGUUGCUGGUUUUUUUUUUUAAUGAAGUAUUGGCGUUAGAAAGAGAUCAGGGUAUCAGGUUGAUAAUUGGGUGUUCAAACUACUACCAUUUAUGGAUUAGAUUCUGAAGCAAAUGGGCGAUCUAGUAUUUUUGUCCUUUUCUGUGGUUCAAUGGAUAAACCACCAAAUUCAUCCCAAAAAGGUUUCUCCUUUCUCUCUCUUUCUCCCCUUCGUCAAUGCCUUCUGGAAUGGGGAUAGGGGUAAGUUACC